rnacentral:tRNA from 1 species
AAGAAAGUGACAGAGUGGCCAUGUGGCCGGCUUGAAACCGGCUUAAGGGGGUUCGAUUCCCUCCUUUCUCG